rnacentral:rRNA from 1 species
GGAGGGUGCAAGCGUUAUCCGGAUUUAUUGGGUUUAAAGGGUCCGUAGGCGGAUCUGUAAGUCAGUGGUGAAAUCUCACAGCUUAACUGUGAAACUGCCAUUGAUACUGCAGGUCUUGAGUAAAGUAGAAGUGGCUGGAAUAAGUAGUGUAGCGGUGAAAUGCAUAGAUAUUACUUAGAACACCAAUUGCGAAGGCAGGUCACUAUGUUUUAACUGACGCUGAUGGACGAAAGCGUGGGGAGCGAACAGGAUUAGAUACCCUGGUAGUCCACGCCGUAAACGAUGCUAACUCGUUUUUGGGGUUUCGGCUUCAGAGACUAAGCGAAAGUGAUAAGUUAGCCACCUGGGGAGUACGUUCGCAAGAAUGAA